AGGGCGCAUGGCGGAUGCCUUGGCUCUCGGAGGCGAUGAAGGACGUGAUAAGCUGCGAUAAGCUUUGGGGAGGUGCAAAUGACCUUUGAUCCAGAGAUUUCCGAAUGGGACAACCCAAUAUCUUGAAGAGGUAUUAUCCAACGUUGUUGGAGGCUAACGCAGGGAACUGAAACAUCUUAGUACCUGCAGGAAAAGAAAAUAAACAAUGAUUCCCCCAGUAGUGGCGAGCGAACGGGGAACAGCCCAAACCAUCCAUGUUACGGCAUGGGUGGGGUUGUAGGACUACGCCGUUGCAUGAAGACAUCAGAGAAGAACUUUCUGGAAAGAAAGACCAUAGAGCAUGACAGUUGCGUAUUCGAAUGUUGUCGAAGCAUAGUAGUAUCCUGAGUAGCGCGGAGCACGAGGAAUUCUGCGUGAAUCUGCCGGGACCAUCCGGUAAGGCUAAAUACUCCCGAGAGACCGAUAGCGAACCAGUACCGUGAGGGAAAGGUGAAAAGCACUUCGAACAGAAGAGUGAAAUAGUUCCUGAAACCGUGCGCCUACAAGCGGUCGGAGCUCGUUAAUGAGUGACGGCGUGCCUUUUGCAUAAUGAACCUACGAGUUGCCUUUGCCGGCAAGGUUAAGUGUGACGACACACGUAUCCGAAGCGAAAGCGAGUCUGAACAGGGCGUAUAGUCGGCAGUGGCAGACGCGAAACCAAGUGAUCUACCCUUGGCCAGGUUGAAGGCUGGGUAACACCAGCUGGAGGACCGCACCAAUAAGCGUUGAAAAGCUUCUGGAUGAGCUGAGGGUAGGGGUGAAAGGCUAAUCAAACUUGGAGAUAGCUCGUACUCCCCGAAAUGCAUUUAGGUGCAGCCUUGCGGGUUACUGAUGUGAGGUAGAGCGACUGAUAAGAUGCGAGGGCUUCACCGCCUAUCAAGUCUUGACAAACUCCGAAUGCGCAUCAGUUCUACCGCAGGAGUGAGGGCAUGGGUGCUAAGGUCCGUGCCCGAGAGGAGAAGAAUCCGGACCACCUGCUAAGGUCCCGAAAUGACAGCUAAGUUAAACUAACGAAGUCUGACUGCUAAGACAGCUAGGAUGUUGGCUUGGAAGCAGCCAUUCAUUUAAAGAGUGCGUAACAGCUCACUAGUCGAGGAGUCGGGCGUGGAUAAUAAUCGGGUAUCAAGUUGUCUACCGAAGCAGUGGGAUCAUUAAUAUGAUCGGUAGGGGAGCAUUCCAGUCGGCGUCGAAGGCGUACCGUGAGGUAUUCUGGAGCGUCUGGAAAAGCAAAUGUAGGUAUAAGUAACGAUAAAGGGGGCGGGAAACCCCCUCGCCGAAAGACUAAGGUUUCCUGAUCAACGCUAAUCGGAUCAGGGUCAGUCGGGUCCUAAGGCUCAGCCGAACGGCGAUGCCGAUGGCAGAAACGGUUAAUAUUCCGUUACUACCUUCAGGAGUGACGUGGAGACGCAGUAGUGACAGUGCCGCCAUCUGACGGAAUAGAUGGUUGAAGGGUGUAGGAGUCGAUCAUGGCAGGCAAAUCCACCAUGAGAUCCGAACCUGAUAGUAUGCCGCGUCCUUCGGGACAAGGCAAUAGUGCGCGUAAGCAUGCUGCCGAGAAAAUCCGCUAAACUUAAUCCUGGAGGUACCCGUACCGCAAACGGACACACGUAGUCGGGAUGAAUAUUCUAAGGCGCUUGAGUGAUUCACGGUUAAGGAACUAGGCAAACUGACCCUGUAACUUCGGGAUAAAGGGUCCCUACCCUUUUAUGGGAGGGCGCAGAGAAUCGGUCCAGGCAACUGUUUAACAAAAACACAGGGCUGUGCCAAAUCGAAAGAUCCAGUAUACAGCCUGACACCUGCCCGGUGCUGGAAGGUUAAGAGGAGAUGUCAUCGAUAAGAGAAGCGUUGAAUUGAAGCCCCAGUAAACGGCGGCCGUAACUAUAACGGUCCUAAGGUAGCGAAAUUCCUUGUCGGGUAAGUUCCGACCUGCACGAAUGGAGUAAUGAUCUGGACGCUGUCUCAACCGUGAGCUCAGUGAAAUUGUAGUAUCGGUGAAGAUGCCGAUUACCCGCGAUGGGACGAAAAGACCCCGUGAACCUUUACUAUAGCUUAUCAUUGAAUCUGGGCACGUGAUGUGUAGGAUAGGUCGGAGGCUUUGAAGCAGGUACGCCAGUAUUUGUGGAGCCGCUGUUGAAAUACGACCCUUUAUUUGUUUGGAUUCUAACCCGUGGAUACGGGGACAUUGAUUGGUGGGUAGUUUGACUGGGGUGGUCGCCUCCAAAAGCGUAACGGAGGCUUCUAAAGGUGCCCUCCGGCCGAUUGGUAACCGGCCUUAGAGUGUAAUGGCAUAAGGGCGCUUGACUGGGAGACUGACAAGUCGAUCAGGUAGGAAACUAGAGCAUAGUGAUCCGGUGUUUCCGUAUGGAAGGGACAUCGCUCAAAGGAUAAAAGGUACUCCGGGGAUAACAGGCUGAUCCCUCCCAAGAGCUCAUAUCGACGGAGUGGUUUGGCACCUCGAUGUCGGCUCGUCACAUCCUGGGGCUGGAGAAGGUCCCAAGGGUUGGGCUGUUCGCCCAUUAAAGUGGCACGCGAGCUGGGUUCAGAACGUCGUGAGACAGUUCGGUCUCUAUCUAUCGUGGGCGUAUGAAAUUUGCGUGGCUCUGACACUAGUACGAGAGGACCGUGUUGGACAGACCUCUGGUUUGCCGGUUGUGCCGCCAGGUGCAUUGCCGGGUAUCUAAGUCUGGAUCGGAUAAGUGCUGAAAGCAUCUAAGUACGAAGCCGGCCACAAGAUUAGAUUUCUCAGGGUCGUUGU
rnacentral:rRNA from 1 species